ensembl:lncRNA
AGAACUGUCACCCCGGGAAAACACAUGUGUAGGACAGUGUGUAUAGGCCUACAAGACAUCGCCCGGAAAAUGUGUCUUCUAGUUUAAACAAAACUCUCGAUUCUUUUAAGCAACACUUUAAACAUUUUACAUCCUAAAGGGUUAGGUUUAGAAGACAUGUAAUACGUGCGUUUCUUAUAAAACACCGUCUUUAAAACGUUUACCUCCUAAAGGGACCUAUAUAGAAGAUUGUUAGAGGACCUGUAGACUGAACAAAUACUAAGGACAUUACAAUAGUGUUAGAAAGACCAUGUGUACAACGUGUGUGGGGUGGAAAACAUAUGGCCGUACCAGGUAUGGUAACGUUUGUGUCACGAAUGGAUGUGAUCCAGAUUUAACAUAACUAUAUAUAUUUUUAUGACCUACCACAG